CCUACGGGUGGCAGCAGUGAGGAAUAUUGGUCAAUGGGCUUACGCCUGAACCAGCCAAGUCGCGUGAGGGAAGACUGCCCUAUGGGUUGUAAACCUCUUUUGUCAGGGAGCAAUUGGCGCUACGUGUAGCGUUAUCGAGAGUACCUGAAUAAAAAGCAUCGGCUAACUCCGUGCCGGCAGCCGCGGUAAUACGGAGGUUGCGAGCGUGAUCCGGUUUUAUUGGGUUUACAGGGUGCGUAGGCGGACUGUCACGUAAGCGGUAAAAUCGCGGGGCAAAACCUCGCUCCGCCGUUGAAACUGGCGAUCUUGAGUGGGCGAGAGGUAUGCGGAAUGCGUGGUGUAGCGGUGAAAUGCAUAGAUAUCACGCAGAACUCCGAUUGCGAAGGCAGCAUACCGGCGCGCAACUGACGCUGAGGCACGAAAGCGUGGGUAUCGAACAGGAUUAGAUACCCCUGUAGUC
rnacentral:rRNA from 1 species